GCGGCUAUGCACGAAAUUGCGAAGUCUCAAUUUUUCCGUCCACAAUUCUUUCAUUUCUUGGCGAAGGUUGGCGACAAGCUAAGUGAGAUGGGAAGGAGCAGCCUUUUGCGCCCAGGUGACUUGUUUCGUCGUCGAUGAUAUAGACUGUGUGGACGAUAUCAUACGUGCUGAAUUAUUAGUGUGGUGUGUGGAGGCGGAUUUAGACAUAUUGCGUUGGGGGCAUUGAGGGCUGAGUGCAAUAUGUGUAGACGCAGCACAUGCCACGAAAUGGGGAAAUUGUUUACAGUUUGGGUCCAACUCAUAUGUAGCUUUGGCGCAGUCCCGGCAGACCAGCGGAAAAGGACUGCAUUUGGCAACAUGGCCCAAACGAUGACAAUUGUAGUAUGCUAUUGGGCGAGGUGGAUAUUAAUGAACAGGGAUGACUUCAUAUUCAAACACCAAGCAUUGUUUUAUGUGUUUCGCAUCAAAUUUCAACACCAGUAGCUGUGUUUUACCGAGCAUGCGCGAAUCGGUUAUUGUCGCCUAUUCACAGGGCAGAUGCGCUUUGACGUAGUCAAUCCUUAGGACGGGUCUUUAACACAUCAGGAGAGCUGCCUACUGCAUGUGCCUGAAGAGGCGAUGUGUUUACGUCAAGAACACGCAUGUUGCCGUUAACUGUUGCGACUAAGCGCGAUAGUGUGUAAAUUUUGCGAAAAUUGCCCUGGUCGCGAACUGUGAUCCGUAUGCCGUUACUGGUUGUGUCAAAUCGCAGAAUGGCCCUUCAGGAAUGAAUACUGAUGGAGCACUUUGUUCUAUGGCGUUUGGGAGCGCCUGCUUCGGAAUAUUUGUUACGGGCACUUUGUUGAGCGGCCUGAUCAAAACGAUGUAGCGGGGCCGACUCACCCGUUUGGCGUGAAGUCUUGUUGGUGACACUUGGCGUCGAUAGUAGACAACGUUUCUCUGUCCCCCGUCGUCACGAGGUUCGGUGGUCCUCAUGGAAGGGCCCCCUGACAAGUCGGGACCAGCUGGCCCGUUAGUUUUGCUGACUGCGCAUGCUGGGUCGUAUUCAUGGUCUCGUUUCCGUUAGAUAAUGUUGAAAAAUCAUUGCAUUUCGAUGUAAGGCUCGUGCGUUUCGGGGUCGUUGUCAUAGUAGGCGUCCUGAUGAAAGCCGGAGUGAAACCCGCCCGGCGUAGCAGGAUCACCAGGCACUGUGCGGCCGCACUGAAGCGUUGCAGCCGCGGCCUCCGGUAGCGUCCGAAGCGUCCGGCAACGUCUGACGUGUCACACUAGGCUUAGGGUGGCCAGUUCACAAAACACAAAGGAAAAGGUCAAACUUUUCCAAAAAGCUUUGCGGCCUACGCUCACCAUGUAAUCAAGAUUUACUACCUCAGCAAAAAACAGCAACAGAUAAACGAAAAAAAAACUGGUCAAACUGAACAGAAAGAUAGUAUCCGAGGUGAGGCACGUCUGCUUCCGCCAGUGGUGGAAUCGAGCCCCGUAUAAAACGUAAUUACUAAAAAUAUGGUAGUAAAUAAAUAUUCACUUUUAUUUUAUGCGUAAAUACUGUCGGCCUGUGAGAGUAGUCUAGCUCAAGAAGUAGGAUAGUGCUAAUUUCCUACUUCACGGGGUAUUUUUAACGUUCCGUUAACGAUAAAAUAAGACAAGCCAUAUAUUGUAUGAUUAAGUUCUGGGAGUAGCACUUGUUGCAUGUACUAUCGACUAAAAACAUUUAUGGACCACGGGAUCUCAGAAAACGCUAAAACGCUUCCUCUGGAUAUUGAGCUGUUUGUCAGAUCCCUUGGUCCGAACACUUUUUUGGUCGAUAGUACAUUUGUUUUGCGUUGUAUCUGUCUUAUUGCGAAUAGCAUUGAAUCAGUUCGUUGUCAUUAACCGGGUGACAAAUGUUGAUGUUGAAUGUAGUGUAUAACAUACACUGUCUCGCGCACAACUUAUGUGGGCACCCGAUUGGGUAUCACCGAGAUUAAACAUAUUUAAGUCGCCCAGGUCGAAAAAAACGUGCUCCUUUCGGAACAUUCAAUCAAAACAGGCCGAUUGCACUGCUUAACGGUUUCUGAAUUAGAAGCUUCUACCGCGAAAUUGUGGGAGCGAAUAUGUUGAAGUGCAAUCUUUGGCGGGAAACACUGUAUGUUCGAAAUGGCGUACUUCAUAGAAACUAUUUGUGUAAAAGUUGUAUGGGUCAACGAGAGUAAAAUUGUUGACAUUUUUUUUAGGAUAGAGCCAUAACCUCCACCUGAUAAUGGCACACUGCGAAGUGGUGGACUCAUGAACAAUUUUGGCCAUCUGUGCUUCGUUAUUGUCUACUCAAUGCACGGUAGCAGAGCAUUUUCGCAAUAUGCUUCCAUUAAAAAUAGGCCAUCACGUGUGGGAUCGAAUCCGCGACUUUGAGCUCAAAAGUGCAUAGUCAGAGCCUCUGGGCCACCAAGGAGUGUAAGUGUAAACAAUAAUUUUGCGGAUGAAAUUUAACGUCCCUGUAAAAUUCAUUUGUGCUACCAACAAAGACCAACUAGACCGACUGCCAAUUAUGCUUCAAUUUUAAGUCUUUCAUGCUAUUCAAAGGAAUUUUAUUGCGAUAGCAAUUAUAUGGACACUCCACACGGAUUUCUGCCAUUGUUGUCGUCGUCGCCGUGAGGUUCCGUAAAAAGUCCAAGGGCCUUAAAAUCGUCGCCGUGCGCUGUAUGCUGUAUCUGCGCGUGAAAGCACGCGAGGGACGCGCGCAUUCACGGAAGGCGAGCGCACGGCGGAGAGCAAAUGCGACGUCUUCCGUUGCGCGAGAGGCCAUUGGACGAUGGAAGGGAGAGAGAGGGGGUGUCGUUAUGCUGCGGCACCAAAUGCGUAUCUUGCGACCGGGCGCAAGGGGAACUGUAAUCUCGCAGGUGAAUGGAGGAAAGCGGGAAGGCAGCGCGGGAGGGAGGGGGUGUGUCUUCUGCUCUGCGAGCAACUGCGUACUUGUACUUUCCGCGGCGGUGCACCGUAUCUUGAAAGUGAUCUGCAACACGGCUCCUACCUUUGUAUGCGCUGUGCUUUUUGCCACUCAGUUUCCAUUGAAGCGAUAGACCACACGAACCUCCACUCGCUGCUGCUGGCGCGCUUGCUCACGCAAGCGUUAUGACAGUGCUUGUGUGCGGUCAUCGAGUGUGAUCCAUUCAUGUUUGCUGGUGCGCGCUGACACCAUGCUUGUUAAUUCAGUUAGUAAGCGAAUGUAUCCAAGUUUACACAGCCGAAAAAACUACUGCCCUUACUCCGUAUAGCUCUCUACUAAUUUGAUAUCGCAAUUGAUGCUUCGCCUUUCGGGCGAAAUAGCGACUUUUUUGAUAACACUCACAUUUGCACUUUCAGUUGCGAAUCUCGCCCCAAAACCGACCCCAGAAAGACCAUGGUGGAAGAGCGAAUCGGUUCAGAAACGUGCAGAAAAUAUAGGUGUGAGGUCGGAGAUUACUGCCCCCGACAUUGUAUAGGUUGCAGCAGAAGAAUCUUUUUCAUUAAAAGGGAUACUUUUUGUUACUGAGAAAUAUUGAUACUGCCAUUCUUGAAGAAAAAUAAAGUUUAUUAAAACAGUUUCA